CAACAGGUAAGCAAGCUCCUGGAAACAAUUUUGAGAAAAAUCAUUUUUUCAAAAGCACACCUGUUUUCUGACUAAAUAUUUUGUUUACAUUGAGCUACACCUCUAAGAGUCCUGAGGUGGAGGAUCAUGUCUCAGAAAUGAGUUACUCUGAGGAGUGUAAGGAGAGGGAAACUUUCUCAAAAAUGAGUCUGAACAGAGAACCGGAGACAUGUGAUUCAGUAGAUCAACAAGGAGACUUAUCCACCACUUUCAAGUUAAUUGAAGAUCAUGCUGUGAGGUUCUUGAAAGAUGAGUUGCGCAAGUUCAAGCGAUAUCUGAGUCAGGAUUACCCAACAUGCCUGGAACUGCAAACUGAUGAUGUGCUGGACAGUGAAGCUAAGAUCCAAAAAAGCUAUGGCAGAGAGGGGGCUCUGAAGAUUACACUGUAUAUCCUGAGGACCAUGAACCAGAAAGACCUUGCAGACAGACUGGAGAAGAGUAAGAAUGUUGUUUACCC
rnacentral:lncRNA from 1 species